CCAAUUUUUUCACACAAGUUGUUUCUCUUCGUCUUUCUCUCCCUUUUUUCUUAUCUCACGAGACUUGAUCUCUCUUUUUCGAUCUCGCUAGACCUUCAUCAUCGAUCACGACAUCGAUUCACACCUUUUGGGUCAUUGAUUUUGGGUUAUCAAUCACAACAAAGCAACUCAUCUUCCUUGUAUCACCAGCCUUUGCGUGUUUGUGGAACACUUGUAGCAGCAAGGUGUCAACAAAGAUGAUGAAUAAUGAAGAAGAUCUUCUAAACAGUGGUGGCCAAUCAUCCACAAGUGCAUCACAAAUAGCUCUAGUGAAAACAAUGGGCAGACAUAACAAGGGAAGUGAAUGAAACGAUGAAGUGGCUCGAUUGGAAUUAGGGACUUUUGUUUGUGUUCUAUUAUCAAACGACGAGAGUUCUUGUUAAUGUGUAAUGGUGGAGACUAGAGAGACAAUCUUGUUUUUCUUGCUAGACAUUUGAUUUUCUGUUAUUUCAAAUAUUUUGAUGAGUUA